CUCCACUGACAGCCAGUCCCACAUGAUGCAUGGUGAUUGCUGAAACCUGCUACCUGCUGUAUCAGUAGAUGAAGUAAAGGCUGUAGCCUGCAAACAGUGAAGUCAACAUGAGGUCUAUCCCUGCCAGGUUUGCAGGAACAGCCCAUACGUCUCACAGGAAGGAAAAUGGUAACAUCGUGCCUAUGCCACAGCUAUUUUAUACGGACACUUAUAACCCUGGUAUGUAUUGGAGGUCUCCGCUCCAGGAUACACA